CAUCCGCAUGACAGGUGUUCGGCUCGAGGCUUCUUCGCUAUCCAAUGUAUCCUUCCUUGUUUUUGGAACAGAAGAUAAGCAAAAGCUCCGGGCCGUUCUGAGAUUAUACUGUCACAACUUGAUCUAGAUAAUACUAGCGAAAGGACAUGCGCUGCAUUGAUU
rnacentral:ncRNA from 1 species